UCGAGCUGCCGCAGGUGCCGGGGCUGGGCGAGCUUGGUGCGCUUGCCGGUGCUGCGGGGCUGGCGAUCCCGGCGCUGAGCGCGGGC
rnacentral:tRNA from 1 species